GACGAACGCUGGCGGCGUGCCUAAUACAUGCAAGUAGAACGCUGAAGAGAGGAGCUUGCUCUUCUUGGAUGAGUUGCGAACGGGUGAGUAACGCGUAGGUAACCUGCCUUGUAGCGGGGGAUAACUAUUGGAAACGAUAGCUAAUACCGCAUAACAAUGGAUUACACAUGUCAUUUAUUUGAAAGGGGCAAUUGCUCCACUACAAGAUGGACCUGCGUUGUAUUAGCUAGUAGGUGAGGUAAUGGCUCACCUAGGCGACGAUACAUAGCCGACCUGAGAGGGUGAUCGGCCACACUGGGACUGAGACACGGCCCAGACGCCUACGGGAGGCAGCAGUAGGGAAUCGUCGGCAAUGGGGGCAACCCUGACCGAGCAACGCCGCGUGAGGGAAGAAGGUUGUCGGAUCGUAAAGCUCUGUUGUAAGUCAAGAACGGGUGUGAGAGUGGAAAGUUCACACUGUGACGGUAGCUUACCAGAAAGGGACGGCUAACUACGUG
rnacentral:rRNA from 1 species